AAUUAAUGAACUUGCUAAAGUGUAUACUUUGAAAGUAUAAUAAAGAGGUUGUAUUCCUCUAUUAAUUA
rnacentral:tRNA from 1 species